AGCAUAUAGCAAUCUACAUCUGAGGUGCAUCGCCAUCUGUGUCGUCGUACUCACGCAAGUGCCUUUUCUCGCACUCCUUUCCUUUCCGUCUCUCACCCUCUCUCUUCCUGCCACCUUGCUCUCCUUCUCCUCCUUCGUUCACCAAUGCCCGCUCCUGCCGUCCACACCGUCUUCGGUGUCGAGGACUUUAAGAUCGAUGCCCGCUUCCUCUCGCAUAUGGCAUUUCUCUGCUCCCCUGACAAGCCGGUGGAGACGUCGACGCUGAUCGGCAGCUACGCCAUGUGUGAAAUCUGCGUCUCGGAGCCAGAAACUGCUGAUAUCAUGAUGUACCUGGACACGCUGCGCAGCCCCGGUCAGCAGGCAUACGUUGGCAAGGUGACGUCGGAAAUGCGCCAGGCCGCCGGGGCGAGCCGUAACACCGCCGUCGCUGAGGCUGCGGACGCUAUGGAUGCGGAGUUCGCCCGCUUGAAGAGCGUCUUCUUCUUGCGCGUGCGCUCUUUCGUGGUGAUCGACACGGAGACGAACGAGACGGUGGGCCGCGUGGUGACGUUCCCUGGUCAGAUCUCCGACGACUACGGCAACAACCUUGAAGAGCACUCCGAGCAUGGCGCCAACCAGAUCAAGGUGGUCCGUGCACAUACUGCCGAGGAGCUGAUUACCGUGUACAUCGGCCACGGCCAGGGUGCGGCGAUGGCCCAGCUCUGCGCCUGCGCCUCUGGAGGCCAGGCCAUCGUCUUCGACGGCACGACGCUGUCAGAGCUGCUCGUGCACAACGCUGUGCAGCACAAAUGUGUGAAGUCGGAGCCCAUUGACGACGGCGUGGAGAGGGAUUGGCACAUCCUCCACUACCGCAGCGAGGCGUGGGCCAAGAAGCAGGACGCCACAGUAAGAGCUACCGUCGCCGCAGCGAGGAAGAUCGACGCCGAGGAGAAGGCUGCUAACGAGGCAGCGAGGGAAGGGAAGGGGCCCGAGGCGAAAAGGAAGGGUGAGUCCACGACCAGAGCGGCUGAGAAAGAGGACUGUUCUGCCGAGAAAUGGUUCAAGAAGUGCGAGUGGAUCACUGUGGGCGGCAUCAUUCCCGUCGUGGCGCAGUGCCGCUUCGCCCGCACUGGCCGCUAUAACGCCAAGGCGCUCAGCGACAUGAUAACAGACUACACCGCCUCCAUGCAGGCUGCCGAGGACCCCUACGCGUAGAAGCAACGCGGCGAAGGUACAGUAGGGUCACAGAGGCGGGACAGUGAAGCAUUGUGAGGUGAGUAUUCGAUGAAGAAAUGCGUGUCACCCACGCGUCUGCCGAUGUCCGUGCCCGUGUUUGUGGGCUUGAAUUAUAUCCUCCGUAGAAAAUGAGGAGAGGCGCUGCGAAGCAUUGCGAAUCGUGGACGUUUCUCCCGUGAAGCCUACGAGAAAACGCUCUCGCAAGAACAGAUGGGGAGAGGAGCAGCACACCCUCGCGCGCUCACUCUCCCCUCACGCCCCGCUUCGCUCUGUUAACUUCCCCAUUUUUCUAUCCUCCUCGUGGCCUCAUACACGCACUCGCAGUCUCGAUUUCAUGCUAGCUCACCCUCUUCCUCUAGUGCCCUACCGAGAGCAGGUCUGUGCAUUUGAUGAGAUGUGCAUGUGCUUGCCUCUUUCUCGUCAUCUCCCUCCCCCAAUCGCAGGUCUUCGCGCUCUGCCGACAUCUAUAUAUUUCGAUCUAUCUAUAUAUGCCGUUGGUGUUUGGUUCAUUAUUCCGUUGUACUUCUCUCUUUGCUCCCUAUCUUUUUUUAUUUUGUUUUGCGUUGUUACCUUUUCGUCUCCCCUCUUCCUCCCCUUCGGAUUCAUGACACCCAUUUUUUCUUCACCUGUCAUUUCGUGCUGCUUUCGUGUCUUCUCUCGCUCCAUAGAUGCGUACGCGCUUGUGCAAGUGCCCGUGCGCCGCCUCUCGCUCUCCCGCCCCUCCCCUACCUCGUUUCUUCUUUUUCUUUCUUUUCGGUUCUUUCUUUCCCUGCCUCCGUGGGUGCGUUUGUGUGGUAAGCGCAUGCGAAGCCAAAUACCGACAACAGAGAAAAACGAAAUACGAAACACGUGAGAUGGAUAGAAGGGGGAAUAAGAAGUCAAAGAGAGAGAAACAGAGGAGAAGGAUCGCCUUCGUACACACACACACACGCGCGCGCGCGCGCACGAGGGCGAAACAAACAAAAACAAAACGGAGAAGCGGCCACGCUGCGCCAAGCGAAACAACCACAACAACCAAAAAAAAAGAAACACAAAGGACGCAAGAGAAGGAGGAGGACAUGCAGGGUGGCACUGGUGCGUUUUCGUUGUCUUGUUGGUUGCUUUGCUGGUCUGGCCGUUGUGUCUUUUCUCUUGUGAGCUUUUUGUGUUUAUUUGUCGCGUGACGGCGCUGAUUGGCGAAGCUGGUUUGAUUCGCAGAAAGUGUCAUCCGAACAAAGAGAAGCACCAAGCGUUGACAAGGGCGCGUUGUCGACGGCGACAAACCUUCUUUAUAUAUGUAUUUCCUCUGUCCUGGGCCGGGCGGCACGUAUAGACGUCUGAGUGCGCAUGCCCACAAGCGAGUAUAUCUCAGUUGUAUGGCCUGCUCGUACGCGAUGGCACUGAUGUCCACUGUCCCUCGUCUCCCUUGUUCUGCGUAUCUGUGCCGUUGGCGCCUCCGCGCUUACCGCCUCAUCUCCUGAUUUUUUUUGUUUCGUCUUUUUUUCCUUUGUUUCUCUCAUGUGCACGCUCUGAUGAUGACGAGCGCUUUUAUUGUUUUUUUUUUGCGCCUUUUUGUUUAUCCGGAAAUACAAAGACCAACAGCGAAGCAAGGCCAGGAAACAUCAUUGUACUCGUGCCUUCAGAACUGCACGCCCUCGUGCAAGCAGUGGCGUCGCACGUGCGGUGCGGCCCACUCGAAGGAAACGAUCUCGAAAAAAAAAACGUAAAGAGAGAGAGCAAGCGAAUGGAAUGGGAAGAAAAGGAACGCGAAGCGGAGGAGCGUUCGAAAGGAUGACCCAUUUCCCCUUCUGGACCUGCGGGAUGACUCACUCUCCGUCGCGUGGCUCUUUUUUUUUGAGAUGAUUUUAUUUGCUUGCUUGCUUGUGUCCUUGUGUGCUGGUGAGCCUCCUCUUUCGCCCUCUUCUUGUUUGACGGACGUGUGCUCGGGCGUCUACGACUGCGCCGUCUCUGUUGUUGUUUUGUUUUGUGUUGUCCCUUUUCCCACGUUUUGUCCUCGUCUCUCUUUUGAUGAUCGGUAAGCGGCCAUACGGACCGAAGAGACGAGCAAACAAGAAACACAAGCAAGAUGACGCGGUGGGGAAAACGCCACGGACCCUCAUGCGCACCCAUCGACUUGAUCCUCACACUGUUUUCUGAUGAAUACUGAAACAGGAACAGCAACACCACGCAUCAAAGCAGCAGCGUGUAAGAGGGCGGCGGCGGGGGGGACGAAGGCCUCUCACAUGAAGCUCAAAGGAAAAAAAAAACAAAUCGCUUACCCAAACGCCUGCGUCUGCAUCAUGCAGAAAAUCAGAGGCUAUAUGAAAACGGUUGAGCUGAAGUGAAAAAAAAAUGGAUAGACAAAACUAAUGCGUGACCUACCCGGAUCUGUGCGUCCUGGCUGUUUGCCUAGCACGCGACAGAAUCACGUUUGUGCCUCAACACAAGGAAUAAUUUGGUGCAACUGACUGGAGGCGAGAGCGGAUCUCUGCAGAAGUUCGCACGUCCAAUUUCGCGAGAGGUAUGGAUUGCUCAGCGGUUUCGCCACCGUUUUCAAGGUGUUGCCUCGCCGUCCUCGCUGCCCUUCCGACAUCCACCUAAAAGUUCGCCGAGAGGGAAGUGGUGUCUGUGCGUCCGUUUCUAUUCGCUCUCUUUUUGUUUGUUUUGCGAAAAG
rnacentral:misc_RNA from 1 species